rnacentral:rRNA from 1 species
AGUCGAACGGAGCUUAGAGAGCUUGCUUUUUAAGCUUAGUGGCGAACGGGUGAGUAACGCGUGAGUAACCUGCCCUAGAGUGGGGGACAACAGUUGGAAACGACUGCUAAUACCGCAUAAGCCCACGGUACCGCAUGGUACUGAGGGAAAAGGAUUUAUUCGCUUUAGGAUGGACUCGCGUCCAAUUAGCUAGUUGGUGAGGUAACGGCCCACCAAGGCGACGAUUGGUAGCCGGACUGAGAGGUUGAACGGCCACAUUGGGACUGAGACACGGCCCAGACUCCUACGGGAGGCAGCAGUGGGGGAUAUUGCACAAUGGGGGAAACCCUGAUGCAGCGACGCCGCGUGGAGGAAGAAGGUUUUCGGAUUGUAAACUCCUGUCGUUAGGGACGAUAAUGACGGUACCUAACAAGAAAGCACCGGCUAACUACGUGCCAGCAGCCGCGGUAAAACGUAGGGUGCAAGCGUUGUCCGGAAUUACUGGGUGUAAAGGGAGCGCAGGCGGGAAGACAAGUUGGAAGUGAAAACCAUGGGCUCAACCCAUGAAUUGCUUUCAAAACUGUUUUUCUUGAGUAGUGCAGAGGUAGAUGGAAUUCCCGGUGUAGCGGUGGAAUGCGUAGAUAUCGGGAGGAACACCAGUGGCGAAGGCGGUCUACUGGGCACCAACUG